rnacentral:rRNA from 1 species
UACGGAGGUGGCAAGCGUUGUUCGGAAUUACUGGGCGUAAAGGGCGCGUAGGCGGCUAAUCAAGUCAGAUGUGAAAGCCCCGGGCUCAACUCGGGAAUUGCAUCUGAAACUGAAUAGCUUGAGUUCUGGAGGGGGUAGUGGAAUUCCCAGUGUAGCGGUGAAAUGCGUAGAUAUUGGGAGGAACACCUGCGGCGAAGGCGGCUACCUGGACAGUGACUGACGCUGAGGCGCGAAAGCUAGGGGAGCGAACGGGAUUAGAUACCCCGGUAGUCCUAGCCGUAAACGAUGGGCACUUGGUGUUGGGGGUAUUGAGUCCCCCGGUGCCGGAGCUAACGCGAUAAGUGCCCCGCCUGGGGAGUACGGUCGCAAGACUGAAACUCAAAGGAAUUGACGGGGGCCCGCACAAAGCGGUGGAGCAUGUGGUUCAAUUCGACGCAACGCGAAGAACCUUACCGGGGCUUGAACUGUAACUGCUACCCUUGGAAACAGGGGGUUCUCUUCGGAGACGGUUAUAGAGGUGCUGCAUGGCUGUCGUCAGCUCGUGUCGUGAGAUGUUGGGUUAAGUCCCGCAACGAGCGCAACCCUUACUCUUAGUUGCCAACAGGUCAAGCUGGGAACCCUAAGAGAACUGUCGGCGAAAAGCCGGAGGAAGGUGGGGAUGACGUCAAGUCCUCAUGGCCCUUACGUCCCGGGCUACACACGUGCUACAAUGGCUGGUACAAAGGGUUGCCAACCCGCGAGGGGGAGCUAAUCCCAAAAAACCAGUCCCAGUUCGGAUUGCAGUCUGCAACUCGACUGCAUGAAGUUGGAAUCGCUAGUAAUCGCAGAUCAGCUAUGCUGCGGUGAAUACGUUCCCGGGCCUUGUACACACCGCCCGUCACAUCACGAAAGUGGGUUGUACUAGAAAUCGCCGGGCUAACCCGCAAGGGGGGCAGGCGCUUAAGGUAUGAUCCAUGAUUGGGGUG